rnacentral:tmRNA from 1 species
GGGGGCGAUGUGGUUUCGACGGCGGUAAUGACGCCGAAGGUGCAUGCCGAGAGGGUAGUGACUCUCGUUAAUCAAUCGCUGCAACUUUUUAUAGUUGCCAACGACGAAAACUACGCACUAGCCGCCUGACGGCUAACCCCGAUGUCCCGUUGCCUGUGGUGUGACAUCGGGGGCUCGUACACAGGAUCGCGGCCGGCAAUCGCCCCGGUGCAGGUCGCUAAACCUUAGGGGCUCGCCCAUCGACACCCUGUUCGUCGGGUCGUCAAAGGGGCUAAAGCAAUAGACGCAACUAUGCAUGUAGAGCCGACGGCCGAGUGCUGACGGACGCGGGUUCGACUCCCGCCGCCUCCACCA